rnacentral:lncRNA from 1 species
AUCAGUUUCUUUAGACACAUGGUGAUAGAUGCUCUCGUCCACCCAUUGUCUAAUCGUACCAAUAGUUUUACGAUUCAUCUUGGUCCAAUUGGCAUCAGACAUAUUUUCUGGCUUGCUCUUAACACCUUCAAUUGGCUCAUGGAGAUCUUUACAAUAAAGCAUGUCCUCCAUUCUUGAUUUCCACGUAACCCAGUUGGAGCGGGUGAGUUUCAUCAUAAUUGAACCCUUCAUUCUAAACGGAUAU